UUACUAAGAUGAGUAAGAUGAGAUGCGUCGAAAAUAUUACAUAUAUAUGCAUCUUUAAAAGAGAUAAAAACACUCCAACAUAGAAAUUCUACAAAGAUUUCAAAGCAAGUUGCUACGUAAGAACGCUGUGAUUUAUUGGGACCUAAAAACCCCUUCAGUCACAAGGAGGCUCUGAGCUUUGUAGUCCGUCACCUCGACAGACUCUGCAGAUACCCUAACCGGCUAGCGGCUGACCUAACAAAUGAAAACUGUUGUCGCAGGCUAAAAAGACUACACCCUCUGGAUUUUCCAUUCAAGCCUGAUCCCAACUUGUAAGUUUGGACUUAUCUCCUCGGUUUUAGCAGAUGAAGAUUGAAGACCUCACUCACUAAACCCUCCUGAGGAUUUUUACUUUGACAGACUUUUUUUUUCUUAACGCUCCGUAUAUUAAACUUGUCACCGGAUCUGAUCAUUGUCCAAAUGGACAGAUUUUACUUACACUUACUUUACUUUACUUACUUACACUUACACACUCAACAAAAUUCUAUUAUAUAUGUUAAAUAAGAAGAGGAAAGUUAUUAAACAGCAGGCGAUGAAAAAGACCUUCUUCGAGAACUACGAAUAUUAUGAAAAUGAGGCUGUUUAUUCCGAUAAUUUCCUGUGAGAACAUCUAAAUUGCUAGUGAAAAGUCAGCAAGUCCUCAGUUCCCCUAAUUUUGGGUCUAUAUAUUUAUUGACUAUGGCCUUACGUUUCCUAAAUCGUUUCGGAUGUUGCAUCAUUCGCGUUCCUUGUGCUAUUAAUUUCCCCGCCUGCAAUCCAAUGUUUAAUAUGCAGGUGCGCAAUAUUAAAUACAUAUGGAAAAGAAAAUAGAGUUCCCAAAAGAAUAGGCCGAAAAGCGCGAUUGUGCCAAAUAAGGAUGGAACAAGGAUGGACGGUGUAGCCAAUCAAAAUAAAGAUCCAAAUACAUAUAUACAUUUAUUUGUGUUCCAUGUGAGCUGAGAGGCCUGCUGACGUCUAGUCCUAUAUGUUAAUUUCAAAAUUUCAGUUUACUAUACCUAUGUGCAUUUUAUUUUUUAUCAAUUAUUAUUAACCAAAUUCUAAUUUUCCUACUAUAAGCCAGCUAAUUAAAUAACCAUUAACAAAAUACUGUACACUUGAAAGUCUAGUUCUAAAUUAGCAUAUAUGUAGGAACAAUCCAGCCUACUCAUAUUGUGUUUAGCAGGCUAACUGCGUAUAUUUAAUGCAGUUAAUGCAAUCGACUCUAAUCGGGCAGUCUAUCUAAAAUACAAAUAAUUUGUAGUUUCUGUACAAGAAUCUGCUCCCAAAUCGUGAAAAAAAAGUAACCAGAACACGACUCUCAAAUCUAGCUCUAAAGAUAGUCGAGGUAUAUCUUACACAAUUUGGGAAUAAUGGGAAAUGAAUAAUUUAUUAUUAUUGAUGAUAAUGAAAUAGCUUGCGCUCUUUCGUACUGGCAAACAGACAGAAAACGGGUAUAUCUGCUGCAAUAAACUAUACGUAUAUACAAAAGUGUAAUCCCACCGACUUGUUCGCCAUUGAAAUUGACAAAACAAUUAACCAACAACACUCAAAAGAAUGGAAAUUGGCUUGAAAAUAUUUGACACUGAGUAGGUUGAACGGAAAAGAGCAAAUGGUAUCAGCCAAACACAGUGGUCCAGUUCUACAGAUAAUACUAAGCGGGUAUUUCCGUUCUUUAAGCCCAUGUUAAGUCAUUUAAAUAAUUGUGCCACAAACGAUUUGCAUACAAUGGUACAAUGCCGUGCAAAGUCUGGAAAAUUUAAAUGCAGUUCAUAACAGACACGAGAGAUGCGGCCGGAAAUUAAUAUACAAAAACAGAAGCUCAUUAUACGCUUACCUACACUCA
rnacentral:misc_RNA from 1 species